UUGCUUUGUCCAUGCAGCUCAGAGUCCUGGGAGUAAUUAUGGUUCAAAGGCCUGGGUAAUAACUCCUCAGUAACUGAGUGCUUGCUACAAGUUUCAUGGGUGUGGGUAGAAUAGAAUUUGGAUUUAAUUUGAGAAUUUUAAGGGAGGAUUACAUAUUUUAAUAGUAUUUUCUAAGUAUCUGCUAUGAGACUAGUGGGUUAGGGGGGCAGUGGGAACACCUCGGAGGCUCACAACCUUGAUGUGAAUCAGACACAAGUGUCUGGCCUCUGGGACCGUGACCGUGACUGUGCAGCACAGAGGAGAAGGCUGUGAACCCUGAUGCCAGGCUUCCUCUACUGCCCAGCCAGGGUGAACUCAGACCCCAAGCUGAUUCUCAGACGAUGCCACUGCCAUUCAUAAUUCAAGCUUUCAGCAAGGUAAGCCCCUUUGGCUCGUAACAGAAUUCAUCUGGCUGAUAACGGGCUGAUAACUGGAUCUUACCCAUCUCCCCCCAUCCCCACCCCAAGCCAUCACAAUGCCAGGCUCCUGCCAAUUGAAUUAGGUGCUAUUGGUAUAGACAGACCAUCAAAGUCCCAGG
rnacentral:lncRNA from 1 species